rnacentral:tRNA from 1 species
GGUUUGUGGCUCAGUGGUAGAGCGCUUGCCUAGCAUGCGUGAGGCACUGGGUUCAAUUCCCAGCACCA